CACCUAAAACCAGAAUAUAUUUGGUGCAAGCUCAUGUUACCAGGAACUCCGAGAUUUCUGAAUAUAAAGAAAUUGAGCAUGCACUGAAAUGAACUACCAGAUGUGACAAACGUCUCGGUGGGAUCAACUCCAAGCUGUACACGAGCAUAAAUGAAACUGUGUUUGAAGAAUCAGGUGCUGCUACAUCAUUCAAGGAAAUUCGUCGUAGAGGUCUUUCUCUUUACCAGAUUUCGUAGCUGAACUUUAAGAAGCAAUCAAACCGGUGUUAACUUCUUAUAUAAAGGUAGAUUCCCAAACUUUGAAGAAACGCUGCAGUACUGAGGUAAUUGAACGUUGUAAGGCAGAGCAUUGGGCUUACCGGAGCCAAGGUAUCUUCUUCGAUAACAAGUAAGGAUAGUCCUGAUACUACCUUUCUUUUGUUA